CCUACGGGAGGCAGCAGUGGGGAAUAUUGCACAAUGGGGGGAACCCUGAUGCAGCGACGCCGCGUGAGUGAAGAAGUAUCUCGGUACGUAAAGCUCUAUCAGCAGGGAAGAAAAUGACGGUACCUGACUAAGAAGCCCCGGCUAAAUACGUGCCAGCAGCCGCGGUAAUACGUAUGGGGCAAGCGUUAUCCGGAUUUACUGGGUGUAAAGGGAGCGCAGGCGGCCUGGCAAGCCUGAUGUGAAAUACCGGGGCCCAACCCCGGGGCUGCAUUGGGAACUGCCAGGCUGGAGGGCCGGAGAGGCAG
rnacentral:rRNA from 1 species